UGCCACUUUGACAACUGGGUAGUAUUACGUGUAGCCAAAUUAGUUCUUAGUUGUUACUGUUUGUUGCUGAACCGUGGGCUUGCAUCGUCUAUGUACUCAUGGUGACGAUGCUGAUAAAAAUAUUAAAACGUGAUGUCUUCAACCGAGUUCCGGAGAUGAAAGGAGCGACUUGUUUCCGUUUCCUGCAUUGGUUUAUGGACGUGGUAACCUAUACGUUCUCCUUUGAAAGUGGAUUUGCAUAGAGAGUUGAAGCCAGAAGACAAGGCAUUUCGGACCAGUUCCUCCCAGGAGCUUUUUUCAUUAUGUGUGGAUUAAUGGAGGGGAAGUCCAUCACGGCAGGAACGGAGGCCCACGUAAUGAGGAGAACAGGAAGAGAGAAAGGCCAUUAGACUCUGGGGUGAGAAGUGCUGCAUUCAGGUGAGAUGACCUGUGUUAAGCCUUCACUUUUAGGUCACUGUUUGAAGAGCAUAUCUAUAAAUCCACCUUAUCCUCACAAACAUUUUGUCAGAACAGGAAACACUUAAGUCUUCCCAACACUGAAGGGUAAUCCCUUCAGCGCUGCUCAAACGUGUGAUUUGCAGCUUGCUAUGUGGUACACUCGGCUAAACCUCUGUUAAGUAAAAUCAAGCCAGCAAAAGAUCAAAUAUAAUAAUUCCCAGUGUUAAAGACGCCAGCAGUCGUGUGACUUUUUGAUUGUCGGUAUCACUGUGCAUUAUCUCUGGAAAUGCUUCUACCACUGCAGAGCAGGGAAAGGCUGAAGGCUAAAGAGGAACAUCAAAGAGGCCUGAGGGGGAAUUAGCACCUUCCCAGGGACACAACCAGCAUUGUUCUACAAUUAAUCCCAGCCUCCUCUAUUACUUUCAGAUUAUCUUUAAGUGGGUGAACUCUUUGUGGGGCAUUAAGACUCUCCUUAAUCCCCCCCCUCCCUCCCCAUCUCCCUAAACUUCAAUGGCGGCCGUGCUAUCUUGUCCGGGUAGAGAUGGCAAAGGCUUAAGGCUACUCUUAGAAGGUGGUCUGCCAUGGCCACAGGACGGUGUGAGAACUGUGACACAGGGGAGGGACAACAAACAGGAGCUCAAAAUCUCUUAAGCGCACAGGGAGACAAAUAAAAGGAUUUGGGUUGUCAGGGGGGCACAGGAGCUAAAAAGCUAUCUUUCAUAAUCCUUUUGAUAGUGGACCUUUGAAAUGCGUGAUCUGGAUGUUUUAACACAGAGUUCUCAGAAUACUAUUAAGGGGAAAAAAUUGCAGCAGGAUGAGCUUGUAAACGUUACGAAAGCGAAAGACAAAUCUGAGUACAAGUCAUUGCAGAUGCAUUGAGAAUUUUCCCAAAGGGCAUUGG